rnacentral:tRNA from 1 species
AAAAUCCGUCGACUUUAGGAAAUCGUGAGGUUCAAGUCCCUCUAUCCCCC